CGGCAGCACAGGAGAGCUUGCUCUCUGGGUGGCGAGUGGCGGACGGGUGAGGAAUACAUCGGAAUCUACUCUGUCGUGGGGGAUAACGUAGGGAAACUUACGCUAAUACCGCAUACGACCUACGGGUGAAAGCAGGGGAUCUUCGGACCUUGCGCGAUUGAAUGAGCCGAUGUCGGAUUAGCUAGUUGGCGGGGUAAAGGCCCACCAAGGCGACGAUCCGUAGCUGGUCUGAGAGGAUGAUCAGCCACACUGGAACUGAGACACGGUCCAGACUCCUACGGGAGGCAGCAGUGGGGAAUAUUGGACAAUGGGCGCAAGCCUGAUCCAGCCAUACCGCGUGGGUGAAGAAGGCCUUCGGGUUGUAAAGCCCUUUUGUUGGGAAAGAAAUCCAGCCGGCUAAUACCUGGUUGG
rnacentral:rRNA from 1 species